AGGCAGCACAGCGCUAGCGAGAGCUUCACCUCCGCCAUCCUGACAGCCUGGCGUGCGUGUCGUGGCGAUGCUGACUGGACAGGCGGCGUGAUUUGUUCUCCCGAGAGAUACAAGCUGAGAAGCUCUGGUGGUGACCCAUGCUCUAAGGCAUUCACCUGGCCACGUGCAGGAGCCUGGGAAGCUGCUCCCCAUCCACAGGCCCACAGGAACAUUGUCUCAAUUCCUCUCCUCUCAGCUCUGUGUGCACUCCAGCUCAUGAGGUACACACCGACCCUCUUGCCCAGCUCAUCUUUGCAUCUUGGAGCAUCUUCAGAAUCUGAGCCACAAAUGCUGAGAUAAGGCAGAACCUAUUUACUGUGAGCACACUAUCACCCAGCAUUUCAGUCCAGCGAGGGAUAAUUAGUAAAACUCCAAGACAAAGCCCACAGCAAACCUGAGCUUCCAUGUGUCAGCCUAACCUCAGGGCCAAGAAAAAGAAAAGCCUAAACUGGUUUCUUCCAUCCGAGAUGGCCACAGGUUAUGUGAGAUCACGUGGACUUGCAGGACCAGACAGUAUUAUCUUGACUAACACGGACACAUUUUGAACACUGCUUCUCACUCUGCUAUCAGCCACCGCCACCUCUGCAGUAAUGUGACAGCAAGAGAAAAAGGAUGGGAAGGCGAUAACGUUUGCCCACGCAAGUAGAAAAGAACUUUCUGUCCAAAACCAGCUGGCUUGGCUCGGAAAUGAAAUGGCAUUUCAGCGCGAGGUGACCUGUUUGCAUGUGUGUCGGAGCUCUGUCUCCAAACACUUGUCCUAGAUGCAACGGCGGGGUCUGUGAAGCAUUUUAUCAUCAAGUAACCAUGGGAAACAGGUGAGUUGUCUCAGUGCCAGUUUGUCUUUGAAACCGUUUGACAGAUCAGAAACCAUCCUCAGAGACUGCAACAAAUGUGCUGCCAUGUUUCAUGGUUAGAACUCAGCAUAUUUUUAGUAAAGGGCUGAGAAAGUAUGCGAUAAUCCUAAAUCACAGCCAAGAAAACCAUGAACCCCUUAACAAAUGCCUGUUCAGAUACAGAACUUGGAAAUACAUAACAGUUGAUCCACAUUGACACUCUGGUUCAAUUUUUAAGGCUUGUUUUCCAAACUAAAGCAUUUUUGCCUUUACCUGAGAGGGCCAGAGGGAGCAAGGAAGCUGAUGUCUGAUAUUUAUCCUGUGGGACACAGACCAAUCAUCCUAAAUGUACCCCCAAAGAAAUCAAUGGGAAACACACCAAUGACACAUCUGUACUGAGGAGUCUGGACGCCAUUAUCAAAGUUUCAAAAGGCACCUUGUA
rnacentral:lncRNA from 1 species